GUAAGGGAGGAGUAAGGACAUAUAGGAGUUUUUGCAACAAAGACCAGGUAGUCAGAACGUCGAAAGAUUGCUGUUAAUUAAAGAAAACCAGGCAUCUCAAGUUAAGGAAUUUAGUACUUUUAUAUGUAUGGGAAGGUGUAGAGGUCUGGGCUCAUU